UCAUCAUCACCUAACCAAUGUUGACUCUGCAGGCUGCCACCUAAAGCUAAACCAUUCACCUCUGGGUUAAAGAAAAGGUAAACUGACUGAGAAAAUAAAUCCAUUUCCCCUGAAUGAUCUCCUGUAUCAAAUGGUUUCCGUCGUGUUGACAGUUUGAUUAUUUUCCAGGCUCAUCUUGGCAUUGUGACCAGGGUGCAUCUCAAAUUAAACCCUAUUCCAUAUACAGUGCACUCCUACUGAUGUGGGCCCAGGUCAACAGUAGUGCACUACCCUAUGGGCCCUGGUCAACAGUAGUACACUACCCUAUGAGGCCUGGUCAACAGUAGUACACUACCCUAUGGGCCCUGGUCAACAGUAGUGCACUACCCUAUGGGCCCUGGUCAACAGUAGUACACUACCCUAUGAGCCCAGGUCAACAGUAGUACACUACCCUAUGGGGGCCCAGGUCAACAGUAGUACACUACCCUAUGGGGGCCCAGGUCAACAGUAGUACACUACCCUAUGGGCCCUGGUCAACAGUAGUACACUACCCUAUGAGGCCUGGUCAACAGUAGUGCACUACCCUAUGGGCCCUGGUCAACAGUAGUACACUACCCUAUGAGCCCAGGUCAACAGUAGUACA